rnacentral:rRNA from 1 species
ACACUGGAACUGAGACACGGUCCAGACUCCUACGGGAGGCAGCAGUGGGGAAUUUUGGACAAUGGGGGCAACCCUGAUCCAGCCAUUCCGCGUGAGUGAAGAAGGCCUUCGGGUUGUAAAGCUCUUUCAGCAGGAGCGAAACGGUCGGCUUUAAUAAAGUCGGCUAAUGACGGUACCUGCAGAAGAAGCACCGGCUAACUACGUGCCAGCAGCCGCGGUAAUACGUAGGGCGCAAGCGUUAUCCGGAAUUAUUGGGCGUAAAGAGCUCGUAGGCGGUUUGUCGCGUCUGCCGUGAAAGUCCGGGGCUCAACUCCGGAUCUGCGGUGGGUACGGGCAGACUAGAGUGAUGUAGGGGAGACUGGAAUUCCUGGUGUAGCGGUGAAAUGCGCAGAUAUCAGGAGGAACACCGAUGGCGAAGGCAGGUCUCUGGGCAUUAACUGACGCUGAGGAGCGAAAGCAUGGGGAGCGAACAGGAUUAGAUAACCUGGUAGUCCAUGCCGUAAACGUUG